GGGUCUCUCGCGUACUGCAAUUAAAGGCACAGAAGCCCUGCGGGGUGGGAAGGUAGCCGCUGGCCUUCCUAGCAGGAUGGAGACAGGAAACAACAGAUAGCUGAGGACCUCUUGAAAGGUGUGGGAGGAUAAAGGGGGCAAAGGGACAAACACCAACGACCUCAGAACGGGUUGCGCUUAUUUCCCUAAAACUAGUGGGGGUGGGGGCUAAGAGCUCGAGUGAGGAACAGCACCUCAGUUUUGGGGCGAAGAGAUCCCAGCAGUAGCUAUAGACAGGAAGAACACGACCAAAGGCAAAAGCCUAACUCAAUUCAGGAGAAAGACACGUGGGGACUCCACCCCUUCGACUCGUCUGGUGAGGGUUACCUCGGCCAGGACCCCCGGCUCUUCGGCGUCCUUCCCGCUUAGAACCCGCUUCAGCUUGUCCAUUCCGCGCGGCCCAGACACUUGUUGCCUUCGGAGUUCCACCUACAGUGAUGCCGUCUCUGCUUCACAAGCCAAGCAACCCGCCUCCGAAGACUACAACUCCCAACAUGCAAAGAAGCCGGAGGCUCGUGAAGCUUUCCUCAUGCCCAUCGGAGCGACCAACCCGAGCCCUCUGGUGCAAGGCACAUUGGGAAAUGUAGUUAGGUAUACUUCCCGCACCUGCGUGUUGCACUACUCUUUUGAAGUCUGGACUCCGCCUGUGGCCUCUUUGUUCACUUGUACUGUAUAUAGGUUAUGCUGGUGCUUUUUCCCCGAGAGUAGUAAGUCGAGUAAGAGAAUAUCGCUUUUGGAUUGAAGACUACUAUUUGCACUUUUGUUUAAAGCGGGUCUUGUGUUUGUCUUCCUAACUAGGUUAUAUAUACUCAUUCCUUAGAGAAAUCAAUUUUCAGAGCAAACUGCAUCAAUGAACUAAUGAACGAUUUGCAUGAAGUCAAGGUCUUCCCUAUGCAGCUACAGAAAUAUUAGUCAGACAUCCAAAUAGAUGUGUAUCCAGCAAGUACAGAAAUCUUCAGUGGCAACGACCAAGAAGCUGUCUCCAGAGCAAGGUCUGUUUCAAGUCCACAAAAUUAUGUAGAUUCCACUUAAGUGCCUUCUGGUGCUGCUGCAGAUUCAGGAUGCAAAUCCUCUGGAAACUCCAGCUUCUCACAAAUAUUCUCCUUGACAGGCUUGAAACUCCAUGAUCAUGAAGUUCAUCUUCAAACAGCAGUACUUCCUCAAAGAACAUAAUCUGUUCCCUGGCUUUCAGUUUCUCUGUAUCUAUGUGUUCUGUUGUGGCAGAAACCUGGAAAAAGCAUAUAAAGUAUGUUGCCUUAUAAUAGUGCUCUUCAGAAAUUUUUAACAGAUUCGUACAUCAAAGUAGUCAACCAUCAAGAACAGAAUUAAAAGUGUACCUUUAACUUUAUUGUAUCACCUAGAAGAGUCCCUUUGUAAUCUGUUGUAUAGGUCCAGUCAUAUGGGUUAACAACUUCCUUUGUGUGCUCAGGUUCAGACCUCAAAGAAAAAGAUAGACAACUUUGUAGCAUGUCAGAUACAGAACCAGGCAAAGACUGUCUAGGGAUAGAUACAAUUUCUUAAAUAAACUGUGCAAUUUUACCUGUGUAAAUACCCAUGUAUCUGCAAAUGCCUAGAGAUUUUGAACAUUGGCAUAAAAUUAUCAGCUGUAUAAAAUCAAGUGUUUUGUUUGUUCUAAAACAGAUGGAAUCAUGUAGUAUAAUUUUAUUUUCCAAACUCUUCAAAAUAUAGUCCAGUUUGCCAACAGAUCUCUAUUGUGCUAGGAUAUAGCUUCAGCUGAGAGCCCCUCCUAUGUAUAGGAAGCUAUCUUAUUGCAUAUAUGAAACUAAUUAACUUUUGUAAACUGUUCUGAAAGGUGCCAUAAAUUCUUUAUUUAAUGGAUUUAUUCUAAAAACAGAUGUGUUAAUUAAAUUGAAUACUUUUCAUUUGGGGCAUAAACAUAGUUGAUUCUUUUGCGCAUGCUACUCUUUACAUUCAAACAAAAUUAAUUGUGUGCAAGACUGAGUAUCUGAGUAUUUUGAACUUACAGUCAGUCUUGCAUCAUGAUCUCAAAAGCCAUAACUCAAGAGAGAAAAAAUGUACAAGAAUAACUUCUUUAUGUAAAGGGAAAAGAGACAAAUGUUUAAGUAUGUAUCAAGGUCACACACACCAAGUGACCGACAUAAAAAAGUACAAAUGAAAACAAAUCCUCCAAAGUAGCUAACUGUAUUAAUUUGAGGAUGAACGUAUGUUUUCAUUACCUGCUUUCUUGCCACUCUUCUGCACAGGCAACUUUAACCAUUCCUUGAGAGUUAUUUACGCAUCUUAAAGCAUCAGUUGCAUUGAAUUCUAUCCCAAAGAGAGAUUCAUGUUGAAUUCUUAAGACAUUGUCUCCAAACAUCAUUUCUGGAACACAAGGCAUAUGUAGUUCUUCAGCUA